rnacentral:rRNA from 1 species
UGGAGAGUUUGAUCCUGGCUCAGGAUGAACGCUGGCGGCGUGCCUAAUACAUGCAAGUCGAGCGAACGGAUUAAGAGCUUGCUCUUAAGAAGUUAGCGGCGGACGGGUGAGCUAACACGUGGGUAACCUGCCCAUAAGACUGGGAUAACUCCGGGAAACCGGGGCUAAUACCGGAUAACAUYUWGCACCGCAUGGUGCAARAUUGAAAGGCGGCUUCGGCUGUCACUUAUGGAUGGACCCGCGUCGCAUUAGCUAGUUGGUGAGGUAACGGCUCACCAAGGCGACGAUGCGUAGCCGACCUGAGAGGGUGAUCGGCCACACUGGGACUGAGACACGGCCCAGACUCCUACGGGAGGCAGCAGUAGGGAAUCUUCCGCAAUGGACGAAAGUCUGACGGAGCAACGCCGCGUGAGCGAUGAAGGCCUUCGGGUCGUAAAGCUCUGUUGUUAGGGAAGAACAAGUAUGAGUUGAAUAAGCUCAUGCCUUGACGGUACCUAACCAGAAAGCCACGGCUAACUACGUGCCAGCAGCCGCGGUA